GGAAGGGUAGCGAAGAGGCUAAACGCGGCGGACUGUAAAUCCGCUCCUUCGGGUUCGGGGGUUCGAAUCCCUUCCCUUCCA
rnacentral:tRNA from 1 species